rnacentral:misc_RNA from 1 species
AGAAGGGGGUAUUGUUACAUACAAGAGAACUAGGUCUAGAAAAAAUGAGCCUAGUGUAGUUAAGUGAGCAGGCAUGAGUUGUCAAAACAACGGGCAUGAGUUGUUACGAAUGAGUUUCGGCGGGAACAAUUACUUGUAGCAGUUAUUGCCAUAUUAAAAGAGUCAUAACAGCCUAGUGUAAUCAGAGAAGAAUCAUUAUACAAUGAUAAACUCCUUCCUCCUUUCUUCCAAUCUUCUUUCUAUUUG